rnacentral:lncRNA from 1 species
GCUGACUCACUUCCCAGCCACUCGAGAUGCUGAUCUGCAUCUGUCGCUCCGUCUGUGCGAGUGCGCGCACAUCCCUCAGAUGCCUAAUUUUAAUUGUAAUGUCAGUAAUGUACAAUUGAUUGCUUAUUCUUGGAUUGCACCGACAUAAACAGCCAUAAACCACCGAAGCAACCAUUGCAAUAAAUCACAAAUAAACAUGGCUCUGCACACUGGAGACUCGUAAAAGAGGCUGCUAAGAGAGCAAAAUCCAACCAAAUGUGUGGCUCUGUGCUCGUUUCAGCCGCUGUUUGCGCACGUGUUUGUUUGCCACAAGCCACUGCCUGGUUGUCUGCAUGUUUGCAUUAUUGACUUACAUCAUCAACUUCAUCAAUAAUUAACUGCUUUAGCAGCAUUGCCACAGGCCGGCACUACUGCGAGCCACACACUCAACAUGUUUUCAUACUUGAUUUUCCCUUUUGCCCUUUGCCUGCAUUUAUUCUCUCUUCCAUCCUCCUCAUCCCUCCCUUUCUUACUUCCGUGACUCCUGAACAGUCUGAUUGGUGUGACGGAUCACCCAGGCUUUGGCAUGGAUGGAUGCAUGGGUCAAUAUCUAUCUAAAGAGGAUUGGAGCUCAAAUGAAGGCUAGGCUACCUGAGAAAGCAGCCAACGGAGAAGAUGCUCAAA